rfam:Hordeum vulgare subsp. vulgare, WGS project CAJW01000000 data, contig: morex_contig_139126
CAUGUACUCCUUCCGUCCCAAAAUUCUUCUCUUAGAUUUGUAUUGAUAUGAAUGUAUCUAGUCAUGUUUUGGUAUUUAGAUACAUUUAUUUUUAGACAAACAUAAAAUAAGAAUUUUGGGAGGAAGGGAGUAGGAA